AAAGGUUUUCACUUUCUCUUGGAUCCUGACAUCAGGGGGGAAAAAUGCAGUGUCAUAGAAAAAAAAAAAAAGUAAAGAUCAGCAGACAAGAGGAAAAGUAACUGGUCUCAGCCUAUGAACAAACACUUGUUUGUUUCUCUGUCUACCCUGUUCCAAACCACCGAACUGGAUUUUGCCAACAAGAAGAGCUGUUUCCUGUGCCUGCCCCUGAGAGCUGAUGGCUUCCCAGAGAUGCCUCACAGUCCUGCGCAGACAGAGAGAAUGCAGAAGGGAGAAAGAAACAUACCAAGAAUUAACCCUCAGUCCUUCUCUGAAGCAUCCUACUUGAUUGAGCAGGCAACACACUCUGGGGAACAGGCUUUUGGACCGAUAUAUUUAUUUACCUAAGGAAUGCACUCACUAGGAAAUAAAAACAACCAACCAAAGAACAGAUAACUCGUGAAACAGAAUAAGGAUUGACACAGCAAUAAUGUAAAUAUGAAUGCAAUAAAAUAAUUCAAGAGAUAAAGUAAGAUCUUAAUAAUAUAAAUAAGGGACAAAAGGUCAUAACAAAAACCAGGUGGAAAUGAUAAAGUUUAAAAAAAUGUAAUCAGUGAAAUAAGGAAUCCAAUAGAAGGAAUAAACAACAGAAUGGGUAAAGCUUUGGGAUUAAUAGAUAUUCAGGUGAUCAGAUUGAAAAGCUAUUUCAGAAGGUAAUAAGAAUGGAAUGAAAAACAUAAAAGAAAGGCUAGGCCGGGUGCGGUGGCUCACGCCUGUAAUCCCAGUACUUUGAGAGGCCGAGGUGGACGGAUCACGAGGUCAGGAGAUCGAGACCAUCCUGGCUAACGUGGUGAAACCCCGUCUCUACUAAAAAUACAAAAAUUAGCUGGGUGUGGUGGCAGGUGCCUGUAGUCCCAGCUACUCAACUCAGGAGACUGAGGCAGGAGAAUGGCGUGAACCCGGGAGGCAGAGCUUGCAGUGAGCCGAGAUCGCGCCACUGCGCUCCAGCCUGGGCGACAGAGUGAGACUCUGUCUCAAAAAAAAAAAAAAAAAAAGAAAGAAAGAAAGAAAAGAAAAGAAAAGAAAAUAGAAGAAUAGAAGAAAGGCUAAAAGAUGUGGAGGAUAUAAGCAGAAGUAUCAGGGUACAGAUAAUGAGAGUGCCAAAAUAUAAAAAAUAAAGAGGGGAGAAAUUCUUAUAUUUCAUUAUAAUGAAAUAUAAGAAUAUAAAAGAUAGACUAUUCAAAAUGUUUCAAAGAUUAAGAGAAAAUAAUUUACACAGGAAAAAGAAUGUAAUUCAUAUUACUUGGCACCAACAUGGAUGCAAGAAAUAGAUAACUUUUUUAAGGAAAAAACCUAGAAUCUUAAAUUUUACAUUCAGCAAUAUUGUCAUUUAAAAAUGAGGAUGUAAUUAAAAAUAUUCUCAGGCAUAUGGGCUUUAGAAAAGUUUUUAUAUAAAUUCUCACUUUCAAAGAAAUUACUAAAGAAAAUAUGCAAAUAAAAAUAAAAAGAUAAAUCAGGAGGAUGCUGUAAGAGAUAUGAGAAUUAAAGGUCACUAAAUGGCUUAUCUAAACUACAAAAUUGAGAGCCAGAGAGAGGAAGAAAAUUCAUAACAGUUAAAACUAACAUUUUAAACAAAUUACUAUCAUGAGGUGAGCAUUGGGGAAGAGUUUUUGCAUGGUUGGUAAGACAUGCCAAGAUAUUUACAUUGUUAGGUAUAGAUAUAGAUAUAGAUGAACUUAAGAAAUCUAUAGAGAAAAUAAACAUGGGAAUGGAUCUUGAGUUAAGAAUACUCAUUUUUAAAAAAAGAAAAGAACACAGUAUAUAACUUUUAAACAAGAAGAAUAAAAUUUAGUAGAUUGAAUUGAAAGCAGGAAUGUAAUUCUUUUAAAAAAUUAAAGUGCAAUAAAUGGAAAAUAUGAAAUUUGAUGGCAGAAAUAGUCCCAAUGAUAUCAAUAACUAAGUAAAAAAAGAGAUCCUCAUACUGGCUAAAAUUAAGCAAAUCUAACAAUUUAUGGCUACAAAAGACAUGGUUCAAACAAAAGAAUAUAAAAAUGGUAGAAAUAAAAGAAUGGAAAAAGAUGUACUAGCCACAAAUAAGACAAAAAUAAAAGUAACAAACUUUAUAAACUUUAAAAGAAAAUGUAGGGCAAGAUAUCAUAAAGAACAAAGAAGAAUGUUAUACUCAGUAACAAAACAGUAGAAAAAGAUGACACAAUUAAUAUUAACAUGUGUAGACCUAAGACAUAGUGCCAACAUGCGAGCAUUAACAACUAUCUGAAUUGUAACUGGAGAUUUUAACACGUCUCCCAGAAAUUGACGGCUCCAGAAGACAAAAAAUGAGCAGACACGUGGGACACCUACAAGAAACCACCUUGAACUCAUAUCUACACACACACACACACACACACACACACAUAUAUAUUCAAAUCACUAUAUAUAUACAUACUAUCUGUAUACAUAAAACUCAACUCCCAAUAAACAGGAAUCAUAUAUUUUUAUAGCACACAUGGGAUAUUUACAAAAAUAUAUCAUGUACUAAAACAAAUGAAUAUUCAAUUUUAUCCCAAAGAACAAGAAUCAUACAGACUAUAUUUUAAGACCAUAAUACAAUAAAAUAAACAAUAACUUUAAAAACAGCCCAUAUGCAUGGCAAGCAUAUAACAUAUUACUAAAUAAUUCUUGAGAUAGGAAGAAAAUCACAAGCUGUUUCAGUCAGAAUAAACUAGGCUGUGUUGAGAUAAAAAGUACCUGCCAAAUCUCAGUUGCUUGAAAGAACAAACUUUUGAUUUUUAUUCAUGUUAUAACAUAGCCAUCAUGGGCUGACAAGGGUCUCCUCUCUAAGUCAUCUUCACCUAGGGAGCCAGGUUGAGGGAGGUUUCAUCUUCCGAAUUCCUCAAUUGCUAUGGCAGGGUACAAAGAUCAUGGUGACUUAAACUCACCAUUAAUAUUUCUGUCCAGAACUGAUGUCAAUUCCUCUCAUACUUCACACAGCCAAAAGAAAUCACAUGUCUAUAUCUAACUUCAAAAGAUGUGAAGAAAUGCAAUUCUACCAUGAACUCAGAAAGGAGACAGCCAGAUAUAUUUGAUGAAAAGCAGUAAUAAUUACCACAUUAUAGAAAUUAUGCUUAGAACAGAAAUGUACACUUAGAAUUUGUAACACUUAGAACUAAUCAACAUUGAGGACACUAUAAUAUGGCAAAAGCUGUACAGCUUGUUUUAUGAAGAAAGUCCUUGUUUCAACACUGAAUGAAGGAAAUCAGAAAGAAUACCAUAAGCCAAUUUCACUCUGAACACAGAUAUAAAAAUCUUAAAGUAUUAAAU
rnacentral:lncRNA from 10 species